GAGCCAUCUUAACAUUGAGCAGGUCUUUUAAGUGCCUUUCUGCAGUUUUUCAGAAGCGCAAGAUAGAUU
rfam:Tupaia chinensis contig71450, whole genome shotgun sequence.